GGCUCAGCCACACAAUUUCAUGGGGUUCAAUAUGGGAAGCUUCUGAGUGCAACAUACUCAUCUACUAAACCAGGAAAACUGAGGCAUAACAUGGAUGUGAUACAGGGAUGCCGUGGGACUGCCAUUGUGAAGGCAGGAAUCAGUCUCCCUUGGAGAGGUGGUCAAGAUUCCCGACACAUCGCUCUCCACUACAUUAUCUACAUGGCUAAUAGACAGCUGCUUGCAAGAAGAUAGAACUUUUACAAUAUGUGAUAAUAAAAAAAAGUGGGCCCUGAAGCUCAUUUUAAUCUUUGCCUCCCACUGAACUGGCCCAUGAAACAAGCAACGCUCAUUUUAAAUUAUAUAUAUAU